CAACACAGUAGGAUGACUAAAGGACGUAACACUUCUGGACGGGAAUUAUAUGUUGAAGAAUUGUUUUGAAAUGUACAAUAACGAAGAUAUUGGCAUUCUCCUUGCACCAUCUUCUGCGAGCUGCAAAGGCUCUCCACCUAAAGUAUGACAAGGAAGCAGUAGACUCAUCAUUCACGAUGCUUAUUUUAUGUGCUUCCAAGGGAUGCGGCCAAAGGACGACCUGCGGAAUAUUUGUGCGCUCGAUCGGCGCCGCAAUCUCCCGAGCAAAGUUCACCUUUGCUGAAGAUCCAAGCGUAAGAAACUGAAGCAGCAGACGGCUUCAAGCCAUGAUCUGUGCGAAUCACCUUUAUGGGAGCUGCAAAAAAGAAUAAAAAGUGUAUCCCCAGUG